rnacentral:rRNA from 1 species
GCCUACCAAGGCUGCGAUGGUUAGCUGGUCUGAGAGGAUGAUCAGCCACACUGGAACUGACACACGGUCCAGACUCCUACGGGAGGCAGCAGUGAGGAAUUUUGCGCAAUGGGGGAAACCCUGACGCAGCAACGCCGCGUGAGUGAUGAAGGCUUUCGGGUCGUAAAGCUCUGUCAAGUGGGAAGAAAUCACUUGGUGAUAAUACCACCAUGUAUUGACGGUACCACUGAAGGAAGCACCGGCUAACUCCGUGCCAGCAGCCGCGGUAAUACGGGGGGUGCAAGCGUUAUUCGGAAUUACUGGGCGUAAAGCGCGCGUAGGCGGUUUGGCAAGUCAGAUGUGAAAGCCCGGGGCUCAACCCCGGAAGUGCAUUUGAAACUGCUUGACUUGAGUAUGGGAGAGGGAAGUGGAAUUCCUGGUGUAGCGGUGAAAUGCGUAGAUAUCAGGAGGAACACCGGUGGCGAAGGCGACUUCCUGGACCAAUACUGACGCUGAUGCGCGAAGGCGUGGGGAGCAAAACAGGAUUAGAUACCCUGGUAGUCCACGCAGUAAACGUUGAACACUAGGUGUAGCGGGUAUUGGCCCCUGCUGUGCCGCAGCUAACGCAUUAAGUGUUCCGCCUGGGGAGUACGGCCGCAAGGUUAAAACUCAAAGGAAUUGACGGGGGCCCGCACAAGCGGUGGAGCAUGUGGUUUAAUUCGACGCAACGCGAAGAACCUUACCUGGAUUUGACAUCUCGGGAAUCUCUUGGAAACUUGAGAGUGCCCUUCGGGGAGCCCGAUGACAGGUGCUGCAUGGCUGUCGUCAGCUCGUGUCGUGAGAUGUUGGGUUAAGUCCCGCAACGAGCGCGACCCCUAUCUUUAGUUACCAGCAUUCAGUUGGGGACUCUAAAGAUACUGCCCCGGUUAACGGGGAGGAAGGUGGGGAUGACGUCAAGUCCUCAUGGCCUUUAUAUCCAGGGCUACACACGUGCUACAAUGGACUGUACAAAGGGUCGCGACAUCGCGAGAUGAAGCCAAUCCCGUAAAGCAGUUCGUAGUUCGGAUUGGAGUCUGCAACUCGACUCCAUGAAGUUGGAAUCGCUAGUAAUCGUGGAUCAGCAUGCCACGGUGAAUACGUUCCCGGGCCUUGUACACACCGCCCGUCACACCACGAGAGUUGGUUGUACCAGAAGUCGUUGGGCCAACCCAUUAGGGAGGCAGGCGCCUAAGGUAUGGCUGAUGAUUGGGGUGAAGUCGUAACAAGGUA